ACGAGCGGCGGACGGGUGAGUAAUGUCUGGGAAACUGCCUGAUGGAGGGGGAUAACUACUGGAAACGGUAGCUAAUACCGCAUAACGUCGCAAGACCAAAGUGGGGGACCUUCGGGCCUCAUGCCAUCAGAUGUGCCCAGAUGGGAUUAGCUAGUAGGUGAGGUAAUGGCUCACCUAGGCGACGAUCCCUAGCUGGUCUGAGAGGAUGACCAGCCACACUGGAACUGAGACACGGUCCAGACUCCUACGGGAGGCAGCAGUGGGGAAUAUUGCACAAUGGGCGCAAGCCUGAUGCAGCCAUGCCGCGUGUAUGAAGAAGGCCUUCGGGUUGUAAAGUACUUUCAGCGAGGAGGAAGGCGAUAAGGUUAAUAACCUUGUCGAUUGACGUUACUCGCAGAAGAAGCACCGGCUAACUCCGUGCCAGCAGCCGCGGUAAUACGGAGGGUGCAAGCGUUAAUCGGAAUUACUGGGCGUAAAGCGCACGCAGGCGGUCUGUCAAGUCGGAUGUGAAAUCCCCGGGCUCAACCUGGGAACUGCAUCCGAAACUGGCAGGCUAGAGUCUUGUAGAGGGGGGUAGAAUUCCAGGUGUAGCGGUGAAAUGCGUAGAGAUCUGGAGGAA
rnacentral:rRNA from 1 species